UUACUUAUUUUCCAAAAAAAUUGCCUCAAUUACAAUAAUAUGACACCCCUACAAUUACUGUUUACUAACCACAGGACACUAAACAUUUGAAAUAAUUUGAUAUGUCUUAGCUGUAAAUGGUGUAGAGAAUUCUCACAGUUCUCAGUGGACUAGGCAGUAUAAUAUUCAUGUUGACUGCUUACAAAAACAGCUUAUUCUUGAUGAGUUUUGUUUAGUGAGACCUUCAUUAAUGUGUAACCAGACCAGAUAGCAGCUUAACAUCACUCACUGUGGAUAGUAGAAAACUAGAGCACAAGUAUGUUGAGUAAUUGUUCAUGGCAUGAAGACUUGAUUUCAGUAAAAUUUUGGGUAACAUUUGUGAUAAAUGUGGUUGUUCGGAUGGAUAAUGAUAUAUGAUAUUGUCAAUACACAGUGACCAAAUGUGUUAUCAAUAAGGCUCAUCAAUUUGGAAAUUCUCUUUUGAUAUAUGUGGCCUUGUGAUCCAUUUAAUGUAGAAAUGAAUUCCAGUUUGCUACAAUUAAAUGUUUAAUGAAAAAACAGCAGAAUAAAACUCUUUAGUAUUUAUGUAGUCAGUUCAGUUGAUUAGCCUCCUUGUAAGUCAUCAGUCAUGUUUCAUUAAAUGUCACAUUAUUAGAUCUGCAUGGAACAAUUUCAGUUAUAUGUUGAUAAAAUAUUAUAUACAACAUUGGGUCAUAUAGUUACUGGUUUGUCCUCUCUGCAGCCAUGCUCAAAGCAAUCUGAGGUCUAAUACACAACUAAAAUGAGGGAAUUUUACAGGUGCCUCACAACUCUGGUACAGAAAUCCCGAGGACUAGGAAGACGCCUGACAACUCAGUGAUAGAAAUCAACAGGACUGAGAUCAUAAUUUUUUAUGAUGAGAGUAGUAAUAUCGAUAGCCCACCAUGUACAUCAAAUAGUGAACGCCCAGAUAUCACAAUUGAUAAUAUGGAUGUGGUGGUAGUUAACAACAGUGCUGAAUUUGAGGUGCCUAGUACUCCAGUGGUUUCUGGUGCAUAUUCCACUACACCAAAAGUUCGGAAGAUGAGAAAGAGUGAUAGUAAUCCCUUACUAAAUACAGUACUGGAGAACUUAAACUCAAAAUUAACCCAAAAGGCAUUAGACCCAUCUCCACAUGAUGCUUUGGGACACUUCAUUGUUGAAGAGUUGUCCAGAAUAAGAAAUCCAAUGACUGUGAGAGACACAAAACAUAAGAUACUGAAAUUUAUCAUGGAAGCUCAAAUAAUGGAUGAUAAUUGUUGAAUUGUAUGCAUUUAGUGUUUAUUACUUUGAAAAUACAUUACCAUUCAAAAAUUGAAGUUUUUAAUUGACU